AAAUGGACCAUGGUAUACAGGUGGCUUAACUUCCUGUUGUUAUGCAUACAGCUGUGGAGGAAUGUUACCUUCAUUCCACAAGAAUCCUGGCCAAGGAGAAGAGCUGAGAACUGGUAAAUAUGCAAAACUUAAUUAGUCCUCAGUGUGUAGACAAACCACCCUAAGCCCAGUCACAGGAAUUUGAUGAUCAACAGACUGUACUGUCCACUUUGUACAAGCUGAGAUGUUUCUUGGUCAUGACUUCUGAGGACUUACAGCCUUCCCGGGCUCCCAAGAUCCAAGGAUGCCCUCUUACCUUGUCUUGAAGCAUCUAAAGGAAAACUGGAAAGAGCAGUGAUACAUGAACAAUUCCCAGCUUUCCCAGCAGGAAGAUUGGCCUCUUUACGUUGGAAGACCUCUGGCUGUGGUGUUUGCAUUUCAGAGCCUUUCCACCUGUUUUGGAUAAGCUGGGUGAAAUUGCUCAGCAAGCAAGAUGACUUUGACAAAACGCUAAAUCUUUUGGCCAAUGUCCAUCAGAAGAUGAGAGGAGAGAGGAACGGGGCAGAAGUUCACAUUCAAGAAGGCAAUAUGAAACUACCUAUAGACACCAAAUGAGGUCAAGGACCAUUGUACUUUCAUACUGGUGUCCUUUUGUGAGGCAUUUAAAAUCAAAAUACUCUGGCACAUAAAGGAAGCAGAUUUACACCUUCCUAGAAAGAAAAGCAGAAGUGACCAGUCACUGUUGCCAGGAGCAUUCUGCCUUUUUCAGAAGAACUUCUCAAGGAGCCCAGGGAUAUGUGCUGCUUUAGAACUUAAAAUCAGGGUGCUGAGCUGUGCCUGUGGGAAUGCACACUGAGUGGUGAGCUCUGCUGGGUCUGAUGGUACCACAAAACAGACACAUCAAGGACACAAAGUCCUUUCUCUGCUGCCAAGCUGCUGUGUCAGGCUGAAAGCCUCAGCACCUCAGUUUCAGGUGGAAUAUUCAGGUGCCAUUCUGUAUUUCAGUGCAGCUGCUUUCAUUAGUGUUUAGAACAAUCCUGGAAUGCUCCUGGCAGUCGAGUUCCCUGUUCCACUGGUGCAGCUGCUCAGUUACAUGCCUGCUGCCCAUGUAAAUUUUCUUCUUGAAUCAAAAAGUAGCAAGAGAUGAAGAACUGUUGGAAAUAUUGAGCUAACCAAGCGUGCUCGAGGGAAUGAGGAGACCAUUAAAAGGUAACAUUAGAAAAGCUUUGCUUGACACAGAGUAUAGACACAGACCAGUGAAAAUAACAAAUUUGUAUAUGCCAGUACUGUUCUGUAACAAGAUUCUAAGUCAAAGAUGAAGCUAAAGUCAUAAUUGGUGUCAGUUUUCCAGGUGAAAGAGAAGGAUUCAGGAUUAAUGAAAAGAUUGGUUAGUUUUGUCUCCAUCAUCAAACUACAAGGAUAAAAAAUUAGGACAGAGAGGAGAGGUUUUCAGGAACCACAGCUACUCAGGAAGCUUCCUGUCCUUUCUCUUUCACAGGCUCUUCCUUUCAGGCCCAUUUGGACAAACAUCAGUCAGUCUCCUUUAGUCUGUUUUGGUGAUGUUCUGUGGGCUUCCAGCUUAUUUCUGCAUAGCCUGAAAUGUCUGUAUUUGCAUCCCAAGCUACCCAAAAUUUUCUUUAAUUAUUUCCCAGGAGAUUUCCUUUGUUCUUUGAGGGGGCAGCACUGCAUUGCUACACCCAAGGGCUUGUCAGCAUCCCCUAGACAUGUCUAAUCUCACAGGAUACUGUAACACAUCAGAUUUAAUUGCAGAGAGCUACAGUUUGUUUCACAGGGCUUCAGAACAGAUGCCAGCUAUUUAAGGUGCUUACACCGCAAUAACUUGUUGCUUUUUUUUUUUCCUCCCCUUGGUAAUGUCUUUUUGUCUCUGACUUUAAUCCUCCUAUGACUUUGAGAAAAGUAUUUUCAUAUUUGUGAGGCCUCUGGAAAUUUUCAGAGCAUUCAGAUUAUGUUCUGAUAAAACUCUGACUUCAUGAGUACAUAUGUAUGAAAAACCUUAUUGAGAUUUAUUAUCUCAUUUUUAAAGUGUCAGUUAUGUCUUCUGCAUUUGUUCAGUCCAAAGGGAUUUUAAAAAAUCUCAUCAGAGCAGCUGUGGGUGAGAAAAGUUCAUUCCUUAUCAGUCAUCCAAACUUGCCAAGUCAGUUUUAUGAAAGCAGUGAAAUGAAUGCAGAAACUAAAUCCAGCUUGAUAACACUAAGCCAAAAGCAUAACAGGAAAAAGAGCAGUGUUGCUACUUUAGUUUUCCUCAUCUGGAACUGAAAUGGAAGGGAAUGGUCUGGAUCGAAGGCGUGUCAGCAGGGCAGGCAGACCCACAGCACUGAAAAGAAAAGGUCAGACACAAAACUCUUUCUUCCAAACUGGAAUGCAGGGAAUUGUCAACCAGUCCCCAUCCACACAGAAGGAGUGUAAAUGUGAUGGUGAGGGGCCUGGUGCUGCUCCCCAUCAGCCUGGUGUCAGCUCAGAGCCUCCUGGCCCUGCAGUGCUCUGUGUCACUGUCCCGUGGAGCUGGAGCAGCCUCAGCCCUGUCAGAGCACACUGAUCCCCGGCUGUGCAUCUGGACUGCUGUUCAAGCAGCUCCACAGCUCCUUGCUGGCAGCCUCAGGGAUGUUUCAGUAGGAUCAACUCCUUUACCUACAGGGCCAUACAAAGAGAGGAGUUAGCAAGGGCUGUGGAGUGUUAGGGCAGAGGUGAUGAGCUGCCCUAACCAGAGCUCUCAUCAGGGCACCGUCUGCAGCACCUUCAGCGCUCUGUGCUCGGCCAAGGCUCCCAAUCCCCAGCUGGAGGCACGUGGAAAUCCACUGCUGCCACACCUGAGGCUGUCAGGGAUUUUGGCUGUUACCCUCAGUCACAUUUAGCCUGUUCAUGGUAGCCCAGUCUUAGGAAGGACAAGUUCUGCCAGCAGUCUUGGUUCCAGGCUGUGCUGUAACAACCCACAGUGGCCAAGAAACGUCUGGCCAGUGGGAGGGCACGGACAAGUUCCUCACAGCCACCUUUUGUGGAACUUGUGGUGGAUGGACUGGCCUCCCUUCUUGCCAAAGGCUUCUUAGGAACCUGGCUUCCAGACUGCCGGGGUUUGUCUUGCCCAAACCGUGCAGCACCGAGCUCCUGGGGUGUUGUUUCCCCAUCAGCCCAGCCCCGCUCCGGGCUCUGCUCACGGCUCCCCUUUGGCAGCUCCUCGGGGAGAGAUCCGGCAGCACCGGCGCUGCUCCCCCGGGGGAACGGCAGGAGGAGACGGGCACGCACCGUUCUGUCUCUGCGUCACUUCUCAGACUUACUCAGAAAAUGUUUCUGCAUUAAAGCAUAUUUCAGUAUUUCUGGAGGUCAAAUGGAACAUACUGAGUUCGCUCUGUUCAAAUCAGUUAUAUGUAAAAAGAAAUAUAUUUAGAAGAAUUAUUAAAUACUCCAGAAGACAAUUGGACAU